rnacentral:rRNA from 1 species
AGAAAGCCCCGGCUAACUACGUGCCAGCAGCCGCGGUAAUACUAGGGGGCGAGCGUUAUCCGGAUUUAUUGGGCGUAAAGUGUGCGUAGGCGGUUUAUUAAGCUAAGAUUAAAGCCCGAGGCUCAACCUCGGUUCGUUUAGAAACUGGUAGACUUGAGUGUGUAGAGGCAAGUGGAAUUUCUAGUGUAGCGGUUAAAUGCGUAGAUAUUAGAAGGAACACCAUGGCGAAGGCGGCUUGCUGGGCCAUUACUGACGCUGAGGCACGAAAGCGUGGGGAGCAAAAGGAUUAGAUACCCUAGUAGUCCACGCCGUAAACGAUGAGUACUAAGUGUCGGGAAACCGUGCUGAAGUUAACACAUUAAGUACUCCGCCUGAGUAGUACGGUCGCAAGGCUGAAACUCAAGGAAUUGACGGGCACCCGCACAAGCGGUGGAGCAUGCUGUUUAAUUCGGAGAUACGCGAGAACCUUACCUAGACUUGACAUCCCGAGCAAUGCUAUAGAAAUAUAGCGGAGGUUACCUCGUGACAGGUGGUGCAUGGUUGUCGUCAGCUCGUGUCGUGAGAUGUUCGGUUAAGUCCGAUACGAGCGCAACCCUCGUCUUUAGUUACUAACAGUUCGGCUGAGGACUCUAAAGAUACUGCGGUAAUAAACCGGAGGAAGGUGGGGAUGACGUCAAAUCAUCAUGCCCCCUACGUCUAGGGUACAGGCGUGCUACAAUGGCUGGUACAAAGAGUCGCAAUACCGUGAGGUGGAGCUAAUCUCAAAGCCAGUCUCAGUUCGGAUUGAAGUCUGCAACUCGACUUCAUGAAGCUGGAAUCGCUGUAAUCCUGAAUCAGAAUGUCAGGGUGAAUACGUUCCCGGGUGUUGCACACACCGCCCGU